AUGGGAUUCGCGGUCCCAGGCGGAGGUGACGGCGCGGACCCAGGUGCUCCGUCCGCGUCGACCCCGCCUGCGACGAGAAGCUCAGCGCGAAAUCGGACGAGGCGAGACGGCGUAGGCGGUGGUGGUGUCUCGCUGAGGAGAAAUACCGUGGUUCGUUGUCGAUUCUGGGAGGGGAUGAGGACGAGGAAGAAGAAGAAGAAGAAGAAGAAGGUUAUUUGGGUCUUUGCGCGUGGCCUGGGAACAUCUUUCACAAGUUGCAACGAGUGCGUCGUGUACCACAAUUGGCACCGCAUGGGUGAUUGGAAAAAGUGUUUCGUCAAGAUUGUGGGUGAAUUCGUGGAUGUACCAAUAAACUUAGCAAAUUAUAUCAGAGGGCAGAUACCUGACAAAGUGAAGCUAGAAGUACCUGACGGUAAAACAUACAACGUUCAGGUUUCUAAGGAAGAGAAUGGCCUUGUCUUUCAAUCUGGGUGGGCAGAAUUUGCCAGAACUUAUGAACUUGUACAAGGUACCAUCUUAUUGUUUGAAUCCAGCGGAAGCUCCUGCUUUGAAGUUCGAAUGUUCAAUCAAACUGGCUGUGAGAAAGAGUUAUCCUGUGUUCCAAUGAACAACACUCCUUGUGUCAAUAAAAUGCGUUUCUUCAUGGUUAUGAUGGGUAUCGGUGCUUCAAAUAAUGGACUGACCAUACCAGAAAAGUUUGCAAACUAUGUCAGAGGACACAUAUCUGAAGAAAUAAAGCUAGAAGUGCCAGAUGGCCAAACAUAUAGUGUUCAGGUUGACAAUGAACAGAAUGAGCUAGUCCUUCUCUCUGGAUGGGAUACAUUUGUCAGUGCCUAUGAACUUAAAGAGGGUGACACAUUGUUGUUCGGGUAUAAUGGGAACUCCCAGUUCAAAGUCCGAAUCUUCAAUGUAAAUGGUUUUGAUAAAUUGUUAUCGUGUGUCGUUAAGAACAUCACUCCUUGUGUCCAAAAAAGGAGCGCGUAUCAUGAUAAUCCUUUGCAAUCACCUAGAGAAAGGACUGGACCAAAUGAUCACAGGAACAAGGCAUGCACAAUAUGCAUAGAAUGUGUUGGACGCCAUUAUUGGCACAUGGAGGAUCAUAACUGGUCUUUCUUCAAGGUUGUGAUUCUGAGUAAUUUUAAGGAUGAGAUGACCAUACCACCAAAGUUCGCCACUAAUUUCAGAGGUCGCAUAUCUGAUGAAGUCAAACUAGAAGUCCCGGAUGGUAAAAUUUAUAAUGUUCAGGUUGCCGAGGAACAACAUAAGUUAGUUCUUCGAUCAGGGUGGGCGAACUUUGCCGGUGCUUAUGAACUUAAAGAGGGUGACCUCCUAGUCUUUACAUACAGUGGGGACUCUCACUUCAAAGUAAAAAUCUUUAAACCAAGUGGCUGCGAGAACGAGUUUUCAUGUGUUACCAUGAGCUGUGGUUCUAAUGUCCAAGAGAGGGACAUUUGUCAUGAUCAAUCACUACCCACCAAAAAGAGAUGCCGAAACGAUGGUUUGACUGACAGUUGGAAAACUACAAAGAAGACUCCAACAGACUCACCUUCGCAGAAACCAAGUUCAGAAUUGAACACUGAAGAUGUCACAUCUUCAAAAGAUAUUCAGGAACCCAGAGGUUCAGGUGUCCUUCAGGGAUCUUCAGAAUCACGUUACAUUUUAGAAAUGAGCUGUAAACUCACUAGUGCCCAGAGGGCAAGAGUCGACACAUUUGUCAAGGAAAGCCAGACUGGAAUUGAAUUUUAUGUCACAGCAAUGAACGAGAAAACUCUGUCUGAUGGAUAUCUGGUCAUCUGCAAGGACUAUGCUGUCAAACACCUUCCGCAUCAAGACCAGAUGAUCAAACUCUGUCAUCCUCAGAACAGCAAAACAUGGGAUGCCAAUUUGGCGGUUAUCAGUGAUGGCGCAUGCACCCUUUCAUGCAUCCUUACUGCUGGUUGGCUGGGCUUCGUACGCGACAACAACUUGCGGGAAGGCGAUAUCUGCGCAUUCGAAGUGUCAAAGAACGACAGUAGAGUGAUGAUAACAGUCCAUCCACUUAAAGAAAGCGGUCACCCAGAGUAUGUCAUAACAGGACACACCAAACCAGCUAGCCAGCAGAAGAAGAAAUGGACUCACCCAGGAUAUGUGGUUGCAAGAAGCAUCAAACUGACUCGCAAGCAGAAGAGAAAAAUUGAAGAGAGAAUCCAGGCCAUUCGGCCUGAAAUCAAAAUAUUUGUGUCAGUCUUGCAGAGAAGCAGCUACAGCCUGUACAUUGAACAGGGAUACGCUGACUGUCAUCUUCCACGCGAGGACCAGAUAAUGAGGCUUCGACUGCCCGGGAAGAACGACACUUGGAAAGCUAAGCUCUAUGUAGGUGACAAAGUCAAUGGAAAAUUUAAUGCACUGCGCAGAGGCUGGAAGAAGUUGGUAAAAGACAAUAAGCUGCAAGAAGGGGACAUGUGCCUGUUUGAGCUGCUGAAGAACGAGGAGGAGCUCACCAUGAAUGUCCACAUAAUUAAAGCGUAG
rnacentral:rRNA from 1 species